AUUGAACGCUGGCGGCAUGCCUUACACAUGCAAGUCGAACGGCAGCACGGGAGCAAUCCUGGUGGCGAGUGGCGAACGGGUGAGUAAUAUAUCGGAACGUGCCCAGUCGUGGGGGAUAACGUAGCGAAAGCUACGCUAAUACCGCAUACGAUCUACGGAUGAAAGCGGGGGAUCGCAAGACCUCGCGCGAUUGGAGCGGCCGAUAUCAGAUUAGGUAGUUGGUGAGGUAAAGGCUCACCAAGCCGACGAUCUGUAGCUGGUCUGAGAGGACGACCAGCCACACUGGGACUGAGACACGGCCCAGACUCCUACGGGAGGCAGCAGUGGGGAAUUUUUGGACAAUGGGCGCAAGCCUGAUCCAGCAAUGCCGCGUGCAGGAUGAAGGCCUCGGUU
rnacentral:rRNA from 1 species